UACAGAGGUGGCAAGCGUUGUUCGGAAUUACUGGGCGUAAAGGGCGCGUAGGCGGCCCGUCAAGUCCCGUGUGAAAGCCCCCGGCUCAACCGGGGAACGGCGCGGGAAACUAGCAGGCUUGAGUUCGGGAGAGGGAAGCGGAAUUCCCGGGUGUAGCGGUGAAAUGCGCAGAUAUCGGGAGGAACACCGGUGGCGAAGGCGGGUCUCUGGGCCGGAUACUGACGCUGAGGUACGAAAGCGUGGGGAGCAAACAGG
rnacentral:rRNA from 1 species